rfam:Triticum aestivum genome assembly, contig: Triticum_aestivum_CS42_TGACv1_scaffold_406704_5BL
CAAAUACUCCCUCCGUCCGGAAAUACUUGUCAUCAAAAUGGAUAAAAAGGAAAUAUAUUUGGACGUAUUUUAGUUUUAGAUACAUCUAUUUUUAUCCAUUUUGAUGAUAAGUAUUUUCGGACGGAGGGAGUAGAAA